rnacentral:rRNA from 1 species
ACGGCUCAGUAACACGUGGAUAACCUGCCCUAAGGAAGGGGAUAACCCCGGGAAACUGGGGAUAAUACCCUAUAGGUUAUAGAUGCUGGAAUGCUCUGUAACUCAAAGUUCCGGCGCCUUAGGAUGGAUCUGCGGCCGAUUAGGUUGUUGUUGGGGUAAUGGCCCAACAAGCCUGUAAUCGGUACGGGUUGUGGGAGCAAGAGCCCGGAGUUGGAUUCUGAGACACGAAUCCAGGCCCUACGGGGCGCAGCAGGCGCGAAAACUUUACAAUGCGGGCAACCGUGAUAAGGGAACCUCGAGUGCCUGUAUAUGCAGGCUGUCCAGGUGUCUAAAACACACCUGAAGAAAGGGCCGGGCAAGACCGGUGCCAGCCGCCGCGGUAAUACCGGCGGCUCGAGUGGUGGCCACUUUUAUUGGGCUUAAAGCGUUCGUAGCUGGGUUGUUAAGUCUCUUGGGAAAUCUGGCGGCUUAACCGUCAGGCGUCUAAGGGAUACUGGCAAUCUUGGAACCGGGAGAGGUGAGGGGUACUUCGGGGGUAGGAGUGAAAUCCUGUAAUCCUCGAGGGACCACCUGUGGCGAAGGCGCCUCACCAGUACGGCUUCGACAGUGAGGGACGAAAGCUGGGGGGAACAUUCGAAUUAAAUAUCCUUUGUGGUUGACUUCGGAGAAAU